GGCUGCCCAAGUUCAUAAAGGUUGAAGGGAACCCUGGGCUGACCACGUUCAUAAAGGUUGAAGGGGAACCCUGGGCUGACCACGUUCAUAAAGGUUGAAGGGGGCAGUGGGGGUUGGUUCGCGUUAGAAGGUGAUAAAUACACCAAGCUCAUGGCACUUUGCAGGAAAUCUUUUAAAACAAAAAGGCAUUGAAAUAUGAAAAUAUCCUCUACCUGUAUUUUAAACAUGUCAGACUUUAAGAUAUGGUCCAAUUGCUUCUUUCAAUUUAUUUUAUCUUUUUUCAAAAUGCAUACAUUUAUAUUUAAAAAUGUUAAGUUCUGUAUAUGACUUGUAAAAGAUGKCAUGAUUGUAUGUUCAUUGUAAAUACAUUAAAUACUAUUUUAGUUUUUA